CUCAUAGAACAAGCAGUUAGCUUAACCCCAUCAGUGACAUUUCCACUACUCAUUAAACAUGAUGAUAGAGGGAUCUUCUUCAAAACAGUGAUUGUACACUUUAUCAGCUACGGGGCUGAAUGCUUCUACCACUGCUGCCAAUCUAUCUAAAGAGAAGGACCAGAUGUUUGCCUCCUGUAGAUUUUCUAGAAGACAAUGUAGGCAAUGAAGCUCUUUGCAUUGCUGCAAACACUGAACGUGAUGGAAGUAUCAUAACAUGUGAUACAAAAUCAUGGAAACAAAAAGAGUCAAAGCCUAUAAAAAACAAAUCUAUAUUAACCUUUAAUGUCUCAGCUGACGUGAAGCUGCUUGCGAUGUAAGUUUAUCUUUCUUCUCACUUUUGGGACCAACAGAUAAAAGUGAUAUUAUUUUUUAGUCAUGAUUUUUCUUUAUGCUGAGGAACCCUUGAAGGAGAUGAUGUUAUGUUACUUGACAUACCUUAACAAGUCAGAGAGUUAUCUGGUCUCAUGGGCGUGAAUCCCGGUUUCUUCGCGGGUCACAGGCGGAUAAGGAUAAGAAGAAGACGAAGGUAUAGAAGAAUCAGUAAGAGACAUGUCGAAUGGAUGAGAUUAAGAAGAAAUAGAGAAGAAGGAAGGAAGAGAUAAUGUGUGGUUUUAGUUUUUUUUUGGGUAAAUAUACUUUUAUCUUACGUACUUUUUUUUGGUGAGUCUAAGCAUUGUCAUUUUUCCUUUUUUAAGUAACCACCACUUUGGUUUCUCCAUUAUAAUCUUCAUUUGGUAAUAUAUAAUUUGGAAAUUUAU